UUUUUUUGUUCAUUUUAUGAGUUUUCAUUAUCUUCUUCUCAUCUCAUGCCAAAGCCAAGAGUGAAGAAGCAAAGGUAAGAUUCAACUACACUCCAAUCCAAUGCUGGCGCUAAUUCAGAACUGCUCCAUGCCACUCGCGCGUACGGUGCGACCUCCAUAUCGCACCCAGGUCCAACCUUAUUUCUCGUCCGUUGUGCGUGCAUCCAUGUCCCCACUUGUCAAAUUUCCGUCUCAGGUUCUCCUUGGUUUGUCAGAGAAGGAGCUGGGACAGCUUGCCCUUAACUUCGGUCAGGAAACCUACAGGGGCAAGCAACUUUAUCAUUUCUUAUACCAGAGGAAGUUUAGAGAAAUUAAGGAUUUCUAUCAGUUGCCUGAGGUUUUUAGGAAUAAUCUUGAAGAAGCUGGAUGGAAGGUGGGGCGGUCUCCUAUUUUCGAAACUGUAACUGCAGCUGAUGGAACUGUUAAGUUGUUGUUAAAGUUGGAGGACAAUAGAUUGAUUGAAACUGUUGGCAUUCCAGUUAUGGAUGAUACAGGUUUGAGUCGCCUCACGGCAUGUGUCUCAUCACAGGUUGGUUGCCCUUUACGCUGCUCCUUUUGUGCCACUGGAAAAGGGGGGUUUUCAAGGAAUCUUCAGAGACAUGAAAUCGUUGAUCAGGUCUUGGCCAUUGAAGAGGUCUUCAAGCAUAGGGUGUCAAAUGUAGUGUUUAUGGGAAUGGGUGAACCAAUGUUAAAUCUGAAGGCAGUACUUGAAGCACACCGUUGCUUGAAUAAGGAUGUGAAAAUUGGGCAAAGAAUGAUAACCAUCUCCACUGUGGGCGUUCCAAAUACAAUAAAGAAACUUGCUUCUCACAAACUUCAAUCUACCUUAGCUGUGAGCCUACAUGCUCCUAAUCAGAAACUUAGGGAGACAAUUGUUCCAAGUGCAAAAUCCUACCCGCUGGAUGCACUUAUGUCAGACUGCAGAGAUUACUUUGGGCAAACCAACAGGCGGGUUUCCUUUGAAUAUGCACUUUUAGCUGGAGUCAAUGACUCGGAAGACCAUGCAGCAGAACUUGCUGAGUUACUCCAUGGAGCGGGCAGUGGAUAUCAUGUCAACUUGAUACCUUUCAAUCCAAUAGAGGACUCUGAGUAUAAGCGUCCCUCCAAGAGAGCAGUGCUAGCAUUUUCUGGUGCUUUGGAGUCUGCUAAAAUAACUGUUAGUGUUCGUCAUACAAGAGGGUUGGAUGCAAAUGCAGCUUGUGGCCAGCUACGGAACAAGUUCCAGAAAACUCCUCUGGUCACCGACCCUAUGGGUCUUGGAGUAAGCUGUUGAUUGCACAAUGUCUCUUUCUUGGCUGUUGAUUUUACCUACAUGCCUGUAUGUCAUGCAUACAGUAACAAGUUUGCAGUAAGCAGUUGGCCUUGGAAAUUUUUGCUGGAUCAUGAUGGCUACACUGAGAGCAACACGUUAUGAAACAGCAGAGAGUUAGACCUAAAAGGCAAGAGGGAGAGAUUUUCCCAUGUGUCUGACCUCUUAUUGCUGUAAAAACAUGCUUAAUUUUCUUGUUGUAAGUUGCACACUUCCCAGUAGAAAAUAACAGAGUAACAAUUUAAAACUACUAUCUUGUUUUGAGAUGUACCAAAAUAUAUUUGUUAAUGAGGUUGCUUAAAUGAAGCAAAUUAGCUAUUGUUUAAUA